UUAUAUUUGGAGUUAAGCAUUUUUAUAUUUGUAUUAUAACUGCUUUAUCUCAAAUAAAACGAAGUCCAUAUUGUGGAUGAUUCGCUAAACCUUAAACAAGUUUUAAGUUUGAAUGAAUUCAUACUUCACUGACCGAGUGACUGGAAAAGGACUCUCUGCUCUAGCUCAGUGGCUGGACCUACAGCUGGACAAAAGGUAAGGACAGUCUUUAUAAAAGCAAAUUGGAAUAAUCUGUUUAGUACAGUCUCCUAAGUAAUACCUAUGAAACUAUUCUGAAAAGGGAUAAAAGGCUUAUCCUCAGGGGACUGAGGGUCAAUCCCUAGGGAAUAGUUGGGAAUACUUAUACAACUAUAACACUCUAAGACACAUCAACACACACUAUAACACUCUAAGACACACAAACACACACUAUAACACUCUAAGGCACAUCAACACACACUAUAACACUCUAAGACACAAAAACACACACUAUAACACUCUAAGACAUACAAACACACACUAUAACACUCUAAGACACAAAAACACACACUAUAACACUCUAAGACACACAAACACACACUACAACACUCUAAGACAUACAAACACACACUAUAACACUCUAAGACACACAAACACACACUAUAACACUCUAAGACACACAAACACACACUAUAACACUCUAAGAC
ensembl:lncRNA